GUAGUCGGAUUCGUAUCAAUCCAUAUGUGUUGGGUAGGUUGGAGUGAAACUUUAAAGUAAAUUUCAUCCCAAUCCACUCCAACACAUAUGGAUUGAGGUGAAUCCGAUA
rfam:Sorghum bicolor cultivar BTx623 chromosome 10, whole genome shotgun sequence.